ACACACUGCUUCCUGUAUGAUCACCGAAGUUAAGCAAAGUUGAGCCUGGUCAGUACCUAGAUGUGUAACCACUUGGGAAUACCAGAUGUU